rnacentral:rRNA from 1 species
UAAUUGAAGAGUUUGAUCAUGGCUCAGAUUGAACGCUGGCGGCAGGCCUAACACAUGCAAGUCGAGCGGCAGCACAGAGAAACUUGUUUCUCGGGUGGCGAGCGGCGGACGGGUGAGUAAUGCCUGGGAAAUUGCCCUGAUGUGGGGGAUAACCAUUGGAAACGAUGGCUAAUACCGCAUGAUAGCUUCGGC